ensembl:lncRNA
AUCAACUUUGCAUAGACAUUAAAGACUCCAAAUCCUUCUUUUUAUGACCACCUCUUCAUUUUUUCCAGCUCAAAUUAUAUGUACAUACAUGCAUACCCCUUUGCGCAUCUGAUGGAAAUAAGAUAUUUUUGCAUCUGAAUUUGUCAGUGGAUCGCAUGGAUAGAGUUUCACUUAGCCACAAUGCAUUAUUGUCUUCUGGAAUGCUACUGGGGGAAUAAGAAUUGCGUGAAAAAUAAUAGAGUCUGUCUAGGCAUGCAGUCUACUAGGAGUCCUCUUUUGACUUUCAGUAUGCUUUACAGGUGAGCUGAGGUUUGCCCUGUGCCUGUGAUCUCAUUUACAGAUAUGUGCAGUGAGACAACGGUGGUGGAAUGACUGGGAAAUAAUUUUAGUUUUUCAUGUUCUCUGGAUAACAUUCUCUAUGAACGUAGAUACUAGACCUAUUUGUGAAUGAAGUCGAUGUCAAUUUUAGAUAGUGAGUCAAGUCAACAAGUGUUUGAUUAUCUGGCUAUAUCACUGACUUACAGAAAAAGUAACUUUUUGGCAGCCCCCAAAUGAUCUAAAACCGGAUUGCUUUCUGACCUUCAAAAAUUGCACAAUACUAAUAAAACCAUAAGCUUCAAUAAGUAAGUUUUCUUAUUAUCAGAAGUAAUUUCCAAUUCAAUAUAAGCCCUUUCUGCAUUUUGAAUUUUGUAAUUGUUCUGUAAGCUUUAAGUUGGUAAAGGAUCUAUAGUCCUCUGUUUCUGAACAGUUUUGAACAUUCCUCUGAUGCAGGCUCUACAUUUUCUGUGGAAAUUCAAAUGUGACUUGCAAAUUUAUGUGUGGAAUAGUUAUAUGGAUCAGCUUACCCAGUGCAGUGAGAAUAAAAAAGCAGUAUAUAAAGACCAAGUGACAAAGCUCACAGGUGUUGUGACUCAUUACUGAAUGACUGAUGUGAAUGAGAAGUAUUUUGAAGGUUGGUUAUCUGUGAUAGGAAUGAUUUCAAGGGGGAAAUACAGGUAUCAAAGACUCUCUUAGCAAGAAGGCUGGAUAAGGUAAAAAGUUUCAGACUUAAAGAGGGGAGGUUUAGACUGAAUUUAAGGAGAAAGUCUUUUACAAUAAGGGUAAUGAAGCAGUGGAACAGGUUUCCCAGAGAGUUGGUGGAUGUCCAAUCCCUGGAGAUAUUCAAAGCCAGGCUGGACCAGGCUCUGGGCAACCUGAUGGACCUGUGGAUGUCCUUGUUCAUUGGAGGGGAGUAGGACUGGAUGACUUUUCUUUCAACUUGAACAAUUUUAUGAUUCUGUGAUUCUUUAUUCAUGCAUUUAAAUCUCCCAACAUAAAAAGCACCUGUUCAGUCUUGAGGACAAAAGCAUUCAUUAACUUGGUUAUGCUAGUAAUUAUUUGACUAUCUUUGAAUGUUGUUAGCUAAUGUAUAUGCUGAUACUGACUUGGAAGAAGGGGGUUUUCAAAUUACACUGAUUCUUUUACAGAGAGUGAUAAUGAGAUAUUGAAAUCAUGUUUAGCAUUAUUCUGUUUUCUGCUGCUUGCUUUCUGCUGAGGUCUCUCUCAGCUUACUGCAUCAAGUGAUUUACAGUUUCUUUGUGUCUUACAAAUUUGUAAUAACACUCCAUGGUGCAGAAGU